GACGAACGCUGGCGGCGUGCUUAACACAUGCAAGUCGAACGGAAAGGCCCUGCUUUUGUGGGGUGCUCGAGUGGCGAACGGGUGAGUAACACGUGAGUAACCUGCCCUUGACUUUGGGAUAACUUCAGGAAACUGGGGCUAAUACCGGAUAGGAGCUCCUGCUGCAUGGUGGGGGUUGGAAAGUUUCGGCGGUUGGGGAUGGACUCGCGGCUUAUCAGCUUGUUGGUGGGGUAGUGGCUUACCAAGGCUUUGACGGGUAGCCGGCCUGAGAGGGUGACCGGCCACAUUGGGACUGAGAUACGGCCCAGACUCCUACGGGAGGCAGCAGUGGGGAAUAUUGCACAAUGGGCGGAAGCCUGAUGCAGCAACGCCGCGUGCGGGAUGACGGCCUUCGGGUUGUAAACCGCUUCCGCCUGUGACGAAGCGUGAGUGACGGUAAUGGGUAAAGAAGCACCGGCUAACUACGCG
rnacentral:rRNA from 1 species